UCCGAUAUGGUGUAGUGGCUAAACAUUAUCGCCUCUUGGCAUAUUAUCCAGGUCGGCGCCCUCUCGCUUUGCGCGAUAGCCCGGCGGGGCUCGAUUCCCCGUGUCGGCA